GAUGAACGCUGGCGGCAUGCCUAACACAUGCAAGUCGAUCGGUAAGGCUCUUCGGAGUACACGAGAGGCGGACGGCUGAGUAACGCGUAGGAACACACCCUGCAGUGAGGGAUAAGACACCGAAAGGUGUUCUAAUACCGCAUACGGUCUUCGGAUUAAAGCAUUUAUGCGCUGAAGGAGUGGCCUGCGUCAUAUUAGAUAGUUGGUGAGGUAAUGGCUCACCAAGUCGACGAUGUGUAGCUGGUCUGAGAGGAUGAUCAGCCAGACUGGAACUGAGACACGGUCCAGACUCCUACGGGAGGCAGCAGUGAGGAAUAUUUCACAAUGAGCGAAAGCUUGAUGGAGCAAUGCCGCGUGCAGGAUGAAGGCCCUCGGGUUGUAAACUGCUUUUAUAAGAGAAGAUUAUGACGGUAACUUAUGAAUAAGGGACGGCUAACUACGUG
rnacentral:rRNA from 1 species